CAAGUAGUGAUGAGCAUGCGCCUGCGCCGUCAAGAAGCUAGGCUGCUGCCAGCCCACGACGGUUCAUUACAUUAGAAGCAUGCACACAAGCUGAGAGAUGUCUGUGAGGCAACGAGACAAGAUGGUGUUUCCUUAAGAGCCGAUAACUGUCUGGAUGAGGAGCUGUCGGCCAAAGAAAGCAGUGUGUGUAGGCCAGAUCAAGACGGACAUGCAUGAGGCCAGCGGGGAGAAUCACCAAAGCAGCUGUUUUCACAGCUGUUCUUGAG